GACGAACGCUGGCGGCGUGCUUAACACAUGCAAGUCGAACGAUGAACUGGAGCUUGCUCCAGGGAUUAGUGGCGAACGGGUGAGUAACACGUGAGUAACCUGCCCUUGACUCUGGGAUAAACGCUGGAAACGGCGUCUAAUACCGGAUACGAGCUUCAGCCGCAUGGCUAGGAGUUGGAAAGAAUUUCGGUCAAGGAUGGACUCGCGGCCUAUCAGCUAGUUGGUGAGGUAAUGGCUCACCAAGGCGACGACGGGUAGCCGGCCUGAGAGGGUGACCGGCCACACUGGGACUGAGACACGGCCCAGACUCCUACGGGAGGCAGCAGUGGGGAAUAUUGCACAAUGGGCGCAAGCCUGAUGCAACAACGCCGCGUGAGGGAUGACGGCCUUCGGGUUGUAAACCUCUUUUAGUAGGGAAGAAGCGAAAGUGACGGUACCUGCAGAAAAAGCACCGGCUAACUACGUGCCAGCAGCCGCGGUAA
rnacentral:rRNA from 1 species